UCCGAGAGGUGCAAGCGUUAUUCGGAUUUAUUGGGCGUAAAGGGUGCGUAGGUGGUAUGAAAAGUUUGCUGUUAAAUCUCCCGGCCUAACUGGGAAUCAGCGGUGAAAACUGCCAUGCUAGAGGAUGAGAGAGAGAAGUGGAAUUCUUGGAGUAGCGGUAAAAUGCGUAGAUCUCAAGAGGAACACCAAUGGCGAAGGCAGCUUCUUGGUUCACUCCUGACACUGAGGCACGAAAGCGUGGGGAGCAAACAGG
rnacentral:rRNA from 1 species